rnacentral:rRNA from 1 species
AGCGACGAUCAGUAGCCGACCUGAGAGGGUGACCGGCCACAUUGGGACUGAGACACGGCCCAAACUCCUACGGGAGGCAGCAGUGGGGAAUAUUGCACAAUGGGCGAAAGCCUGAUGCAGCGACGCCGCGUGAGUGAAGAAGUAUCUCGGUAUGUAAAGCUCUAUCAGCAGGGAAGAAAAUGACGGUACCUGACUAAGAAGCCCCGGCUAACUACGUGCCAGCAGCCGCGGUAAUACGUAGGGGGCAAGCGUUAUCCGGAUUUACUGGGUGUAAAGGGAGCGUAGACGGCGACGCAAGUCUGGAGUGAAAGCCCGGGGCCCAACCCCGGGACUGCUUUGGAAACUGUGCUGCUGGAGUGCAGGAGAGGUAAGUGGAAUUCCUAGUGUAGCGGUGAAAUGCGUAGAUAUUAGGAGGAACACCAGUGGCGAAGGCGGCUUACUGGACUGUAACUGACGUUGAGGCUCGAAAGCGUGGGGAGCAAACAGGAUUAGAUACCCUGGUAGUCCACGCCG